UACGUAGGGUCCGAGCGUUGUCCGGAAUUAUUGGGCGUAAAGGGCUCGUAGGCGGUUUGUCGCGUCGGGAGUGAAAACACCGGGCUUAACUCGGUGCUUGCUUUCGAUACGGGCGGACUUGAGUUCGGCAGGGGAGACUGGAAUUCCUGGUGUAGCGGUGAAAUGCGCAGAUAUCAGGAGGAACACCGGUGGCGAAGGCGGUUCUCUGGGCAUUACCUGACGCUGAGGAGCGAAAGUGUGGGGAGCGAACAGG
rnacentral:rRNA from 1 species